GCAUGGCUGGAUACUGUGCUCUUUUUAUUAGUAAUUACACAGCCAGACACCGUGCAAAAGUACUGUCUGCCCUUUAAAAUGAUCAUGAUGUAGUCUAAGUUUUUCAUGGCAUAUCAUUAUUAAAGGUGAAUACAAAU
ensembl:snoRNA small nucleolar RNA SNORA15